rnacentral:rRNA from 1 species
GGGCGCACGGUGGAUGCCUUGGCACUAGGAGCCGAUGAAGGACGGGACGAACACCGAUAUGCUUCGGGGAGCUGUAAGCAAGCUUUGAUCCGGAGAUUUCCGAAUGGGGAAACCCACCACUCGUAAUGGAGUGGUAUCCAUAUCUGAAUUCAUAGGAUAUGAGAAGGCAGACCCGGGGAACUGAAACAUCUAAGUACCCGGAGGAAGAGAAAGCAAAUGCGAUUCCCUGAGUAGCGGCGAGCGAAACGGGAUYAGCCCAAACCAAGAGGCUUGCCUCUUGGGGUUGUAGGACACUCUGUACGGAGUUACAAAAGAACGAGGUAGAUGAAGAGGUCUGGAAAGGCCCGCCAUAGGAGGUAACAGCCCUGUAGUCAAAACUUCGUUCUCUCCUGAGUGGAUCCUGAGUACGGCGGAACACGUGAAAUUCCGUCGGAAUCCGGGAGGACCAUYUCCCAAGGCUAAAUACUCCCUAGUGACCGAUAGUGAACCAGUACCGUGAGGGAAAGGUGAAAAGCACCCCGGAAGGGGRGUGAAAGAGAUCCUGAARCCGUGUGCCUACAAGUAGUCAGAGCCCGUUAACGGGUGAUGGCGUGCCUUUUGUAGAAURAACCGGCGAGUUACGAUCUCGUGCAAGGUUAAGCAGAAGAUGCGGAGCCGCAGCGAAAGCGAGUCUGAAUAGGGCGCAUGAGUACGUGGUCGUAGACCCGAAACCAGGUGAUCUACCCAUGUCCAGGGYGAAGUUCAGGUAACACUGAAUGGAGGCCYGAACCCRCGCACGUUGAAAAGUGCGGGGAUGAGGUGUGGGUAGGGGUGAAAUGCCAAUCGAACCUGGAGAUAGCUGGUUCUCUCCGAAAUAGCUUUAGGGCUAGCCUCAAGGUAAGAGUCUUGGAGGUAGAGCACUGAUUGGACUAGGGGCCCCUACCGGGUUACCGAAUUCAGUCAAACUCCGAAUGCCAAUGACUUAUCCUUGGGRGUCAGACUGCGAGUGAUAAGAUCCGUAGUMGAAAGGGAAACAGCCCAGACCGCCAGCUAAGGUCCCAAAG